CUGCAGUAUUCAGCCAAGUCAUGGAGAAAUAAGUCAGCCAAGUGAUGGAGAAAUUGCCCAGGCUUCUAGCAAAAGUAUUGGAGGAAAGUAAAAUUGAUAUUCUCCUUCAAAGAUGGCCUCACCUGGUGCGUGAAAUGAUCUUAGAUGCUUUCUGCAUCUUAAAAUGUGUAAGCUGUCUUGAAUUCUUCAGGAAGAAACACCUUCUCCAAAGGCAAGGUUAUGUUUUCAAGGUGGUUGCUGAGAUUUACAGACAUGGAACAUAUCUGCAAACUCUACAUCAUCUUCACACUCUUCUGGUGCGUUACUGCUGCUUUUUAUAUUUUGCUGUUUGAUUGAUCUGUAAGAAGGAAAAAAAUUCAAGGAUUGAG
rnacentral:lncRNA from 1 species